CGCACGUACAGAUGGACACGAAUAGGCUUCGGCUUAGCGUCUUAGCAGGCGAUUACUCCACUGCUCUCGAAGCGAGUAGUGGUAUUUCGCGAAUUGUAAUUUCAGCACGAGCGGGGUUAAAUCCUUUGCAGACGACUUAGAUGUGCGAAAGGGUCCUGUAAGCAGUAGAGUAGCCUUGUUGUUACGAUCUGCUGAGGGUAAGCCCUCCUUCGCCUCGAUUUCCUCAUGAACUCCAGCGGCCGACGGCCGCGAGCACACGAGGGUUAGGGGACUGCCGCGGGCAGGGACUUGAGGGGCCGCGCCGACGAUUCGGUGCGGCCAAGUCUCGUCUCGACGACGCAAGUACCCUGGAAAGGAUAUUGCGGACGGCCGUGACGGCCAAGUGCGUGUCCGCGACGCCAGGUACCCUGGAAGGGACGCGGUCGAGGCCCGAGACGUGCAACGCAGAACGAAGUGCCCGAGUGCGCCGGGUACCCUGCAAUAGGCUUUAGAGGGCGAGGCGCCAGGUACCCCGGAAAGGGCCUGGGGUGGCCAAGUACCCUGGAGAGCGAUUCCCUAGUACCCUGGAAAGGAGAUGGAUGCUGAGCCCCCUGGAAUGGCCAAGUACCCUGGAGCAGAAUUCCCGAGUACCCCGGAAAGCGAUUCCCAAGUACCCUGGAGCAGAAUUCCCGAGUACCCCGGAAAGCGAUUCCCAGGUACCCUGGAAAGCAAUUCCUACGCACCCUGGAGCAGAAUUCCCGAGUACCCCGGAAAGCGAUUCCCAAGUACCCUGGAAAGCAGUUCCCAAGUACCCUGGAGCAGAAUUCCCAGGUACCCUGGAAAGCAAUUCCUACGCACCCUGGAGCAGAAUUCCCGAGUACCCCGGAAAGCGAUUCCCAAGUACCCUGGAAAGCAAUUCCUACGCACCCUAGGGCGGAAUUCCCAGGUACCCUGGAAAGCAAUUCCUACGCACCCUAGGGCGGAAUUCCCAAGUACCCUAGGGUAGAAGCCUUAAGUACCCUAUAAAGCAGUCUUUAGGUACCUUAGAAAGGAGAUCCUAAGUGUAAAUAUUUUUUCGGUAAAUAAAAUAGACAUAGAAGUAGCUGUAGUAGAGAAGUAGUAGGAUUAGAAGCGUUACUUAUACUAAGGCCUAUAUUAUAAAACUGUUAAAUAGGGUACUAGAAAAUAAAAGAGUUAUUAAGGGACUAUACAAAGGAGGUUAGAUUAAGAGGGGAGCUUUUUCUUAAAAGGUAAGUAGUAUUCUACUUUUAUACAGUCACCUCUCUUAAUAAGGGUAGAAGAUAAGAUAGAAAUAGGCUAUCUAUACAGGUAAGGAUAUAUAGUAACGCCUACAUAGUAUAAAGAAUAGAGUGUCUAAGUAUAGUAGUAAAAGUAAAUAGUACUAAGACUAGAAUAAUAUAUACUUAUAUAUUAGAUUCUAAGACGUAUAUACAAGAGAGAAGCUUUAAUGCUUAUAGUAGACUAUAGGUUUAUAAAGAAUAGAGAUAAGUAAAGACGGAGAUAAAGGCAGACCUCUAAAGGAAAGCUACUUUAUGGAAAGGAAGUCUAGGUACCCUAGGAAGGCCAAGUACCCUGGAAAGAACGUCCUAGGUACCCUGGAAAGGCCAAGUACCCUGGAAAAAGUCCCAGGUACCCUGGAAAGGCCAAGUACCCUGGAAAAAGUCCCAGGUACCCUGGAAAGGCCAAGUACCCUGGAAAAAGUCCCAGGUACCCUGGAAAGGCCAAGUACCCUGGAAAAAGUCCCAGGUACCCUGGAAAGGCCAAGUACCCUGGAAAAAGUCCCAGGUACCCUGGAAAGGCCAAGUACCCUGGAAAAAGUCCCAGGUACCCUGGAAAGGCCAAGUACCCUGGAAAAAGUCCCAGGUACCCUGGAAAGGGACUUUCUACCUUGGCGCCUAGGCUAUAAGUAGGUAGUAUAGGGCUGUAGAGCGCCUCUAGGGGAGCCUAGCGCACCAGGCCCUAUAGCUAUAGCGCCUACAGCGGGCGAGAAAACCGCUGCGGAAGUUCAAAAAACCGGCGGUUGGACUGCGGGGUGGGCGCCCGCGGGCUGCCCGGCACGGCGGGCUUAUAGAGCUCGCUGCGGCGGUUACAGCGCCGUAAGGCCCUAUACGGUAGGCACUAUAGCGCUGGAGAUACGGCGGCCCAAAGCCGCAGGUACCCUGGAAGGCAAUUGUCAAGUACCCUGGAAGGGAAAAAGAGGUGGGCCGCAGGGCGCCGCCGAGCAGCUGGUGGCGGCGACGACGUGGGCGGUCGACGGGCAUACCUGGGUUUUGCGUGCGGGAUCGGAUAAGGUUUUGGUGGCCGUGAGUCGAUUUUUUUGUUUUCCCAUACAAAUCUUUUUUUCGGGAAAUGUUUUUUCGGGACAGAAGCAGGUGGAGCGGGGCCGGGGCGCAAAAAGUGUCGCAGGGCCUAUGAGAAGAGAGCGAGUGCAGCCAACCGGCGGCACAGCGCAACUGCUCCACCCGCUGAGGGUGCGCGCUGUAGAAAUACAGCGCAACCGUCCCAUAUCUUAAUGACUGCUGCGUGGCGUCUCUCUGAACAGCCUCGCAGGUAUCUUCCUCGGUGGCGGGGAGUUCGUAGCAGCAGUCGACGCCCACUGUGGUGCACCGCUAAGGCGGCGCAUCAUCCUGGGAGUGCCCGGAGGGUUUGGGGGUCACGAGCCCCUAGACCCGAAGGAUGGGUUCUGUGGAUGAAUGGCCGUUGGCUAUACUUACACUGAGCAUCGGGAGAGAAACGCCCGCGGUCGGACGCUGAAUAGCUGAAGCCGCGGGGCCAGUUGCUCCUCUUGGGACCCCCCAACCACGCAACCCCCCCGGGGGCACAGCGCGGUGAACGGGGUCCUGGGGAAUUCAGAGGGGGAAAGCGGAAGCUUCCUCUGCGCCUACGGCCUAGCCGGACGGCCGCAGGGGGGGCGCGAGCGCUGUUUCGGCAGCGUGAGCGAUUCCGGUGACUAAAACGCUUCGGCCGCUGCUUGCAGCGCCGAUGGCCGGCUCACCCCG
rnacentral:misc_RNA from 1 species